rnacentral:rRNA from 1 species
GUGUCAGCCGCCGCGGUAAAACGUAGGAUCCGAGCGUUAUCCGAAUUUACUGGGCGUAAAGCGCGUGCAGGCGGUCCGAUAAGUUGGAUGUGAAAUCUCCUGGCUCAACUGGGAGAGGUCGUUCAAUACUGUCGGACUUGAGGAUGGUAGAGGGAGGUGGAAUUCCCGGUGUAGUGGUGAAAUGCGUAGAUAUCGGGAGGAACACCAGUGGCGAAAGCGGCCUCCUGGACCAUUUCUGACGCUCAGACGCGAAAGCUAGGGGAGCGAACGGGAUUAGAAACCCCGGUAGUCCUAGCUGUAAACGAUGUGAACUUGGCGUUGGUGGGGUAAAAGCCAUCAGUGCCGUAGCUAACGCGUUAAGUUCACCGCCUGGGGACUACGGCCGCAAGGUUAAA